UUGGAAACUAUUGAAAAACUAAUGAAACAUACAAACUGUUGGUUUUAAUCGUACGUUUUGAAUUAAAUACGUCUAUGGUUGGUAUAUAGUGAAUUGAGAAUAUUAUUAUUAUCGUAUCCUAAACCUCUUUAACGUUGUGUGCUUUUAGAUUUAAGAAAAAAAUGUUCGUGCAAACAUCGUCUACGUCAUUGACGUAAAGUUACAUCCAACCCCUACACCUACAGACACACUAAAGCUGCAGUGUUAACUGUCAGAGCUCAUUCCGUAUAGUCAAUGCAAAUUCGAUGUCUCCAGUGUUCCACAUAACAAAAAAAUAAAUCGUUUUCACGCUGUUAUAGGGAACGUUUAUAAUAUUCGUUCAAACACAAUAUUAAUAUGAUGCCGUAAAACACAUGACACUCGCAUCGUAAUAUAUACAUUACACAAAUAAAUCAACCCUUG